rnacentral:rRNA from 1 species
AAUGACCAAAUCACCCGGAAUGUGCCCUGUCUCUUCAGAUCUCAGAAGCUAAGCAGACUUGAGCCUGGGUAGUGCUUGAAUAGGUGGCCACUGCAUGCCAGGCUCAUUU